AGACUUUUAGGUUAAUUUAGAUCAUUAGCCUUCAAAGCUAGGGGAGAGAAACUGGAAUUCUCAGAGUCUG
rnacentral:tRNA from 1 species